AUGCCCAGCUUUAGGUUUGAUUUUAUUGAUGAUAAGCUUAUGACUGAACUGUGUGUGUCGGAUGAAAUUAAAGUGGAAAUUUGGGAAAAGAUUGAUGAGGCCCCUCGUGCUGCUGCCGAUGGAUUCCUUCAACGGCAAGGGCUGCCACCUCAGUGUAUAACACACUGCUACAACAACAACUAUUCACCUGAUAACUAUAAUAAAUGGAUUGUGACGGUACGUGAUAAAUUACUGAAAAGGGAAAUGUAUGAUUUUUGGAAAAUCGCGGUAGUGCCCGAGGAGCUAGGUCUUGGGUGGAUCCCAACUUAUUUGACAAUAUGGAUAAACCUGAACCGGCAGCUUGGCCGCUUGGCAUGGCAAAUAAACCAUUCAAGAAGAAUGAACACCUAAAAUUACAUAUGUUAUUUAGUAUGUUAACUUCAUUAAUUGUAUUAGUAUUAAGUAAAACUUUGUUUUAUAUAAGUCAGGAAAUGUCUGACGAUGAUGAAGUUCCUGAAGAUUUUGCUGAUUUUGAUGCCACCUUACCGUUAACGGACCCCGUCACUACAUUUAAAAAGUUAAUUGAUGAAAAGAUGUUCACGGACCUUUUUGUACCCGAUCAUAUGAAAUUUGAAAUUUGGGAUAAACUUGAUGCCGCCGCACGGGAUGCUAUUUGGAAAUUAUUGUUUGGCGAGGAAGCAGAUUUGCAGCAAGCUGGUGCUUUAUUGAAGAACUAUAAAUCCAGAGCGGUUUUCUUCUCACCUGAUAACUACAAUGAAUGGAUAGUUCUGGUACGAGACGAAUUAUUAAAGCGGGAAAUGUUUGAUUUUUGGAAAAACACUGUGGUGGCGGAACAGUUGGGCCCUGCAUGGGCUGCAGAUUCAGAUUUAUAUGAUGACUUGGAUGACCCUGAACCAGCGGCGUUUUAUAACUUUGCUGGUUGUAAGGCUGCUUGGUUAAAAAGUGAAGAAGAGACUCCAGACAGAUAAAUAUUUGGUUUUUUGUUAUUAAAUUAAUUUAAGAAAGUUUCGAAUAUGUAAUUUAACUAUGGCGACAACUCUAAAGACUUAAGAUGUGUAAAUGUUAAAUACGUUUUUAAAAGUUCAAGAAUAGCCUUUGCUUCCUAGUGUUUCAGAAAUGCGUACAUGUAAAUUAAAUAAACAAAACUUCCUAA